rnacentral:rRNA from 1 species
GAUGAACGCUGGCGGCGUGCUUAACACAUGCAAGUCGAACGGAAAGGCCCAAGCUUGCUUGGGUACUCGAGUGGCGAACGGGUGAGUAACACGUGGGUGAUCUGCCCUGCACUUCGGGAUAAGCCUGGGAAACUGGGUCUAAUACCGGAUAGGACCACUUCUUGGAUGUUGUGGUGGAAAGUUUUUUCGGUGUGGGAUGAGCUCGCGGCCUAUCAGCUUGUUGGUGGGGUAAUGGCCUACCAAGGCGUCGUAGGGUAGCCGGGCUGAGAGGGUGUACGGGCAAAAUGGGAAUGAGAUAAGGGCCAGGAUCCUAAGGGAGGGAAGAGGGGGGGAUAUUGCAAAAAGGGGCGAAGGCUGAUGCAAGGAAGCCACGGGGGGGGUGAAGGGCCUUGGGUUGUAAACUCGUUUCGGUAGGGGAGAAAGGGUGUGUGACGGUAACGGGAGAAGAAGCACCGGCUAACUACGUG